UGCGUGGGCGACUGACAGGGCUCCUACACUGUGUGGCUGCACUGCCUGUAUAUGGGAUCCCUGGGAUGGAGUUGAAGGCUGAAGCCUUCGGGUCUUAUUUACACCUGUGUGUAUGCAAUGCUAUUAUACCACACACAGCAGAUCAGUAGCUUUCCAACCCUCCUCCCCCCCGCCCCGCUCUCCCCUCGGGCAUCAAGGAAUUAUACUACCUCCCCACCCUUUCUCCUAUGCGCUACACCCACGUCCAUAGCUUAUACCCGGGCUUUAGACAUACCUUUAUGGAUCUCAGGAGUCAAAAGCACCGCUGUAGCUAAAAGGGAGAGCUCUUUCUUAUUUUGUUUUCGGGAGAGCUUUGCAGCAUAUAACCCUCAAUUGCGGUGUAACUUGUAAAACAGCUUGGGAAAAGAAUUGAGGGGAAUGCAACCCUUAUGAAAGCAAUAAAGCAUGUUUUCAACCUGGAGGUAGAUGUAGGAUAAGGACAGCUAUUUAGAUGUGGGAGCAUAUGCAAAAAUGAGGAGAACCGAAGAAAUACAUAAAACAUGAAGCAGGCAGAGCUUGUGUCUGGAUGUGAAACGCCUGUGAUGAUUGUUUUUAAUUUAAGCUAUUUAACAGCCCUUUUGAAAGAAAGCCAGGAUGUUCAUUUCCAAUGACUUACAAAGGUGAUGGGUGAAGGCAGCCUGCUAGGCUGUAGCAUCACUGAAUAGCAUUAAACUGUGUCAUGGAUCAGUGUCAUGAUGACGUAUGACACAACACAGGGGAUCAUUAUGAGUGAAUAGCAUAAUAGACAUGGAGAGUGGACCAAAGUCUCCUUGACAAUUCUUACUCAUAUGUCUUGGGGGGAUAGUUUUACAUUUGUGAUCCGUUUAUUUGGAGCCAAUUCUGAGAGAAAGACACGAAGCACAUGACUGAAUCAUCCUAAAUGGGAUGAAGAUGGGCUUAUGUAGCACAAAGAGGAAAAUCUGAAGAGGUCACCAGUUUAGGUGCAAAGCACUUGGCAAAACACGUGCUGUAUCUAAUUAAACUGGAUGCUCCUUCCUGCUCUAGCCAGGCUGAGAGAGAUGGCUAAAUUCCGUAUUGCCUCGAUGUUGCACAGUGAUUCACUGCGGUGUUAGUUAAGCGUUGCACACAUUUCAUAGCCCUUAUUAGGACAGCCUCAUAUCAGCUCGUAUCUCGAAGGAUGUAACUCGUAUCCUGUUUCUUUCUCACUGGCGUGUUUUGUGCUAGGAUGUGCACUGAGAAGUGCUGAGAUCUGAGAGCGGAACAGACCGACUCCAUCAACUGCGCUCUCCAUGUUUAGAGGCAUGACUGCUUGAAGCAAUUAGGCUCACCAAUUAGCAUACUUCUACUGACCCCAGCAACAGCACCGGGUCCUUAUAUUCUCCAUUUCCCAAGGAAGGGGAAGAUGGGAUAAAACAUGCAUCCCAAGCAGAGGCAGCCUUCCCCAGACUCGCUCAGGCUGCUCUAAGCUGACCGGCUUCCCUAGUGCAGAGCCUUCCCCACGCCGACUUCCCAGCCAAGUCGGUCCGGACGAUGCCUGCUCACAAUGCCUGACCCUGGACAGCAGCAGGCAGAUUGCCAGAAUUCGCCGCUUCCCACCUUUCCCCGAGACUUCCAGCAGUAAUAGACAGUAAUAGCCUAAGACAAAUCAGCCCAUUCUUGUAAAAAUAGAAACACAAAAUCCUGAAGUCCCAAGAAAGCCCUAAAGAAGUUCCUCCACCCCCCUGUGCUGUAAAACUGGGUUUUUUUAAAAAAGAAAAUAAA